rnacentral:rRNA from 1 species
AUUGAACGCUGGCGGAAUGCUUUACACAUGCAAGUCGAACGGCAGCACGGGGGCAACCCUGGUGGCGAGUGGCGAACGGGUGAGUAAUACAUCGGAACGUGCCCAGUCGUGGGGGAUAACUACGCGAAAGCGUAGCUAAUACCGCAUACGAACUUAGGUUGAAAGCGGGGGACCGCAAGGCCUCGCGCGAUUGGAGCGGCCGAUGGCAGAUUAGGUAGUUGGUGGGGUAAAGGCUCACCAAGCCGACGAUCUGUAGCUGGUCUGAGAGGACGACCAGCCACACUGGGACUGAGACACGGCCCAGACUCCUACGGGAGGCAGCAGUGGGGAAUUUUGGACAAUGGGCGCAAGCCUGAUCCAGCCAUUCCGCGUGCAGGAUGAAGGCCCUCGGGUUGUAAACUGCUUUUGUACGGAACGAAACGCGCUGAGUUAAUACCUUGGCGUAAUGACGGUACCGUAAGAAUAAGCACCGGCUAACUACGUGCCAGCCGCCGCUGUAACAC